rnacentral:rRNA from 1 species
AUGAACAUGUCAUCACUGGAAAGCCUGGAUUUGUCGCACAACAAUUUGACAGGAGGUAUUCCUGACUACCAAAUAAAGUCAAUGAAAGUUCUCGAUUUGUCAUAUAACCAGCUCGAGGGACCAAUCCCUCAUUCUAUUCUUCAAAGAUAUCAAGCCGGUCUGCUUGACUUAAGAUUAGAAGGCAAUCCCAUAUGCGCGAAAGACAAAGAUACAUAUUGUUCAAAUAAGAAGAACACCACGCCUACCAUGCUCAUCGCAGUGACAAUUCCUAUAGUACUGGUAUCCCUCCUAGUGGUAAUGGGCAUACUCUGGAAGUUGUACCGGAAAGGGAAGUCAGGUAACGAUGAAGAUUAUGCUAUGUAUGAAGAGGAGACUCCCCUACAUAUUGAUAUCAGACGAUUCACGUACGCAGAGCUGAAGUUCAUAACUAACGACUUCAAAUCAAUCAUUGGGAAAGGAGGUUUUGGUAUUGUUUACCAUGGCACACUGGAAAAUGGUAGUGAGGUAGCUGUUAAGGUGCUUGUGGAGACAUCAAUAGCAGAGUCAACAGACUUCCUCCCUGAGGUGCAAACUUUGUCUAAAGUUCAUCACAAGAAUCUCGUGACUUUGCAAGGAUAUUGCCAGAACAAGAAGUGCCUUGCACUUGUUUAUGACUUCAUGCCCAGAGGAAAUCUUCAACAACUUUUAAAAGGAGGAGAUGAUGAUAGUUUGACUUGGGAACAUCGACUUUAUAUUGCCCUUGAUGCUGCACAAGGACUGGAGUAUCUACAUGAGUCAUGCACCCCAUCAAUAGUGCACAGAGAUGUGAAGACCCCAAACAUCCUUCUGGACAAGAAUCUCCUGGGAGUAAUAUCUGAUUUUGGGCUUUCACGAGCUUUUAAUGAUGCUCACACACACAUAUCCACUGUUGCUGCUGGCACUCUUGGCUACCUCGACCCUGAGUACCAUGCAACUUUCCAACUCACUGUCAAGACAGACGUUUAUAGCUUUGGCAUCGUGCUCUUGGAGAUCAUCACCGGCCAAUCCCCAGUAUUUAUGGACCCUCAAACCAUCCACCUACCGAAUUGGGUGCGGCAGAAGAUAGCUAAAGGCAGUAUUCACGAUGUUGUAGACAAGAGACUGACGGAUCAGUAUGAUGCCAGUUCCCUACAGAGUGUGGUGGACCUUGCCCUGAACUGCGUUGAAAAUGCAGCCAUCGACAGGCCCACCAUGACAGAGGUUGUUUCAAGGCUCAAAGUGUGGUUGCCAGCCGUUUCGAAUGAAAAGCAAUCUACUUCUGGGACUUCCCGACGUAAAUACUCCAUGGAUACUGAAAUUUUGAAGCAGUUCGAGUUCAUGACUUCAGGAGUAAGCAACACGAAGAGUUCCUUCCAGUCUGGCAAUACUGAUGGGAUGUCACAAAUAUAA